ACAUUCAGGUAAGCUUUCAUUAUAGAUCACAUUUCCCUAUCCAUUUCGGGUUUUUGGUUUUAUUUGAAUUUAGGUUAGAUUGAAUUUGGUUUCCCUAUCCUUUCAUUUAUGGAUUUCACAUGUUUUGUUAAUUCCUUUAGGGGUCAUUUAUAGUGAUUUGGAGAAGUAUUUUAAUGUAAUCUACUAAUGUAUAUACAUCAUAGAAAAUAACUUGGUUUGUUCAAGAUCUUACAGCAAAAUCUGCUCCAAACCCAUGUCAGGGAGUCUGCUUCAAGGGUUUCAACCCUUUAAAAAACAGCCUACUUCUUGUCUCCUUUCAAACAAAUUAUCUCCGUCACCAGAGCAAGAACCAUUUCGGAGUUUUCAUCACUUCAUUACAGGUUUCUGAAAUGGUGGCUGACAAGGGUAAGAAACCCGAUAUUGGAGAGAAAAUCGUGGAGGACAAUACUGAGCAAAUCAUGAGCUUGUUCUAUCCAUUGCAAAGUUGUCGGAGGUCCAAGAUGAACUUGAAAAGCUAAUUGGAGGCUUGAGCUGAACACUUGGCGUAUGAGUUGGAUGUAAUUGCAUGGAUGACAAUGCCACAACUACGAAUUGGAGCAUGAAGAUCAAAACUGCUUGGUGAUCUUCAUUCUGCCACUUAACCUGUUGAUCAAGGGGACGUUGCUACACCAACUCAAAACAGAACUAGAAGGAAAGCUGGUGGUGGAAGGCGCAGGGGCGAUGAUGAAGCUAUAGCAAAAGGAAUUAAGGGGCCGUUUACCAAAUACUUACCGGGUACAAAUGGGUAAUUCUCCUUCACAUAAGCCAAAGAAACUCCACUACUUGAUAACUACUUGUUUGUUCUACCAUUUUAUCAUUUGAGGUUCUACUUUUAUAGGUAGCAUUAAAGUUUUAGCACCAUUUUUACCCAAUGCUUACCUGAUAAGCGCUUAGCAGUAAGUCAAUAUUUUCAC